GCCGACGUAGCUCAGUGGUAGAGCACGGCUUUCGUAAAGCUGAGGUCGAGGGUUCGAAUCCCCCCGUCGGCU
rnacentral:tRNA from 1 species